UAGAUAUCAACAUUUCAUGUCACGUAGAGAUCUAGCAUCACAAGAAUCCAAGUCAUCCUCUGUUGCCUUUAAGACAAAAAGCAGAUCAGCAAGUUUUCAUAUUGCACUAUUUUCAAUGGCUGGAGCAUCAACAUUUUACAACAAGAAAAAAAUUAAAAUUCUUCAACAUUUGGAAAAGAAGUGUUUGUAAAACUUUUCACAUCCAUUCACCAUCCGGAAAAGCAAGGUUUUACAGUGAGGCCUGAUGAUGUCUAGAGUCACCAUGCAUCUUGGAAAAUGACCUCCUAUUUAUUUCUUCUACAGGACACCAUGGUGUUCACCUUUCUACAACUUUACACUUGCUGAGGACAUAUUGUGGAAAAUUAAGAGAAAUAUAUAUGGAUGGCCAAGGCUGUA
rnacentral:lncRNA from 1 species